rnacentral:sRNA from 1 species
UACACUCUUCUCACUUGGGAGUAUUUGGUGUUAAGAAUAUCUGGGUGUGAUUUCACCUCUGGAGACAGGACAUGAAUUAAAGAAUUCUUCAGGCUUGCUAAAGGUUAACCUUCUGAAAUACCAUCCCUCCUUCAUGAAUUCUAGGGGUUUUUCCUUACAGGUUCUUUGAAUCAUGCUGCCAGUAAGAAGCUUGACCUGGAGGCCUGGUUUCCGGGCUCAGGAGCCUUCCGUGAGUUGGUCUCCUGUUCUAAUUGCACGGAUUACCAGGCUCGCCGGCUUCGAAUCCGAUAUGGGCAAACCAAGAAGAUGAUGGACAAGGUAGAUGGCCCCCAGGGAGGUGGGAAGCAGAGUCUUCAGUACAUGGCCCGUCUGAAUUAUUUCUCAGCCUUUGGGGUGCACUGGUCCCCAGCAUCAUGGGAAAAUCUGAGCUUCUCAAUCUAGACCAAAAAGGGAAUCUGAAAAUGCCUUCUACUGAGUCAGGACUGAGUUCUUUUAGCUAGAAACCUGAAUCUAGCUCUCUUCUAUAAGGUAAUUCUAGCUUUUCUCUUUCUGGCUUUGUUUUUCUUAACUCCAGAGAAAGAAUAAUCUCCAUUUAUCUACACAGAACAAGUUGGAGGCUUCCCUCUUCUCACCCAAGAAGGUCUGGGUUGUAAGCUGCUCUCUUCAAACCCAAUUUUCAGGCCCUACUCUUAUCCAAGUCAGGAGCUUGAAAGGGGUGAAAAGGAAAGGCCACAAUAGUAGUUUCUUCCUUCCCUCAAAGGGCCCAACUCCUCAGAAUACCAGAAGCUACCACUUGUCACUCAUGGAAACAUGAGGGAUCUUUCUGCAGUUAUCUAAUAGGCAAUAAAUACCAAAUAAUUCAAAUUUAGAAAAAAGUUGCUAAGGGGUAGAACCCAUCACUUUGAUUUGGACAGUUGUGGUUGGGGAAGUCUGGUUGAAUGGAUGGUUCCUGGCCGUCAGUAAGACCCGAUGAGAGUUGAGCCCGACUUCCCCUCUGGGACCCUGUCUUCCCAGGUGGAGUUUGUCCAUAUGCUCAAUGCUACCAUGUGCGCCACUACCCGCACCAUCUGCGCCAUCCUGGAGAACUACCAGACAGAGAAGGGCAUCACUGUGCCUGAGAAAUUGAAGGAGUUCAUGCCGCCAGGACUGCAAGAACUGAUCCCCUUUGUGAAGCCUGCGCCCAUUGAGCAGGAGCCAUCAAAGAAGCAGAAGAAGCAACAUGAGGGCAGCAAAAAGAAAGCAGCAGCAAGAGACAUCACCCUAGAAAACAGGCUGCAGAACAUGGAGGUCACCGAUGCUUGAAUAUUCCUGCCUCCCUAUUUGCCAGGCUUUCAUUUCUGUCCGCUGAGAUCUCAGAGCCUGCCCAACAGCAGGGAAGCCAAGCACCCAUUCAUCCCCCUGCCCCCAUCUGACUGCAUAGCUGAGAGGGGAACAGUGCCAUGUACCACACAGAUGUUCCUGUCUCCUCGCAUGGGCAUAGGGACCCAUCAUUGAUGACUGAUGAAACCGUGUAAUAAAGCGUCUCUGGGGAAGGCUUAGGACUCUUCCUCAGUCUUCUUCCCCGGGCUUGAACCCCGCCUCUG